AUGGCACAGCGGAUCUCCUCGACGCCGUGCGACGCGUCCGGCUGCGAGGCGGCGCCGCUGCUGGACGUCGAGAAGGGCGUACCCAGGACAUCACACGGCACGGCGUCGCCGGCGGACGAUGGGGGCGUGGAAACGUCCGGCUGCCGGCGCUUUUUCCAGGGGUUCUUGGCCGUUGUGUGGCUGUUCAUGGUGAAUCAGAUGAGGAAAGAUUAUAGCGCCUGCGAUAAUGCCGAAACAAGACCGGUCAUGGCGCUUCUGAUGGUAGUGAUCGCCUUUACUGUUGCCAACGUGUUUCACUUGAUCAGCACACAGCCUGCGUAUCCUCCGGCAUAA
rnacentral:rRNA from 1 species